rnacentral:lncRNA from 1 species
UCUAUGAAAACCAUAAGCAUUGACGAAGCACUUGUUACUAUGAUUGAAUGAAACUUAUGCCAAGAAUUUACUUAACGCGAUUGAGAUCAUCAACCUUUACUACUUGUGAAUAUAAGUCCAUAACGAUUAGGUGAAAUUUCCUUAUAUCCUAGCAUUCAAUUUAUGCAUGAUAAUUAAGCGUGCACUCUCAACCAACACACACAAAUCAAUGUAAUUCUCAUAGAUAAGUAAAUUGAAUUCAUAACUUAUGAAACGCAAUUAGAAGUAAUCAAAUCAUAUCGCAAGCAUAAACAUGUAUUUCGAAUCCCCCCUAG